UACAGAGGUCUCAAGCGUUGUUCGGAUUCAUUGGGCGUAAAGGGUGCGUAGGCGGAUCGUUAAGUCGGAGGUGAAAUCCUGGAGCUCAACUCCAGAACUGCCUUCGAUACUGGCGAUCUUGGAGUCCGGGAGAGGUGAGUGGAACUCCGAGUGUAGAGGUGAAAUUCGUAGAUAUUCGGAAGAACACCAGUGGCGAAGGCGGCUCACUGGCCCGGUACUGACGCUGAGGUGCGAAAGCGUGGGGAGCAAACAGG
rnacentral:rRNA from 1 species